UGUAUAAGCAUGGGAGGAUACAGGACAGGAGACCUGGAACGUCUCUGCCGUGAGAGACCGGCCGAUCCUCCGGAGGUCCUCUCACACCUGCAGGGUCAGAAGAGGUGAACUGAGAAACGAGACGACUGCUGGUGUACAGUCUGUGCCAGGAACGGUGCGAGAGCCUGAAGGAAAACGGGGCUCUCCCAAAGGAGAGAUACGUGCGAGCACUCCUGUUUUAAAAGCGCUUCCCCCCGGAUCUUUGGUGAUCAAUAAACCGUCCUUUACUGAAGGUGCUUUGCUUGGCCACCGUCAUUCCAUACUGAACUGCAGCGCACAGCGUGGAUAUCAGAGCUGGUGGCAGCACAGCACUGAAUAUCCAGUGUAUAAGCAUGGGAGGAUACAGGACAGGAGACCUGGAACGUCUCUGCCGUGAGAGACCGGCCGAUCCUCCGGAGGUCCUCUCACACCUGCAGGGUCAGAAGAGGUGAACUGAGAAACGAGACGACUGCUGGUGUACAGUGACGGAAAGCAGAAUAAACGUGGGGUGCAGCUGACGCUGUGUUUUACCCAUUGCGUGCUUCCUGGCAGACGGACGGUUGCGGGGCUCCGUCUGCAUCUCUUCUCCUCGGCGCCGUGAGAACCGUCCCGUCGCCCGCAGGCUGCGCCGCGAUCCAUCUGCUAAAAGAGAGAGCGCCGCGUUACAGCCGUGCCUGAGCGCGCGGUGUCAGCAUCCCGAUUCGGCCCCACGGCUUCAGGUGCCGGGCUGCGACGCUUCCGUGUGCGGCCCCGAGCUCCUCUGCAGUCAGCGUGUAUAAGCAUGGGAGGAUACAGGACAGGAGACCUGGAACGUCUCUGCCGUGAGAGACCGGCCGAUCCUCCGGAGGUCCUCUCACACCUGCAGGGUCAGAAGAGGUGAACUGAGAAACGAGACGACUGCUGGUGUACAGUCUGUGCCAGGAACGGUGCGAGAGCCUGAAGGAAAACGGGGCUCUCCCAAAGGAGAGAUAGGUGCGAGCACUCCUGUUUUAAAAGCGCUUCCCCCCGGAUCUUUGGUGAUCAAUAAACCGUCCUUUACUGAAGGUGCUUUGUCUUGGCCACCGUCAUUGCAUACUGAACUGCAGCGCACAGCGUGGAUAUCAGAGCUGGUGGCAGCACAGCACUGAAUAUCCAGGUACUCUGCAGCACGCGAGAAGGUGGGAAGGGGAGGGUGCAAAGGUGUGAGACUUGAAGGGAGAAGGUUUGCGGUAGAGGGGCGAGGAAAACGUACUCUGAACCACUUGUGUGAGAACUCUCACUGGCAACAGCGAGCAAGUUUUAGGUGACGGAAAGCAGAAUAAACGUGGGGUGCAGCUGA